UACGUAGGGUGCGAGCGUUGUCCGGAAUUAUUGGGCGUAAAGAGCUUGUAGGCGGUUUGUCGCGUCUGCUGUGAAAAUCCGGGGCUCAACCCCGGACUUGCAGUGGGUACGGGCAGACUAGAGUGUGGUAGGGGAGACUGGAAUUCCGGGUGUAGUGGUGAAAUGCGUAGAGAUCCGGAGGAACACCAGUGGCGAAGGCGACACGCUGGGCCGUACCUGACACUGAUGCGCGACAGCAUGGGGAGCAAACAGG
rnacentral:rRNA from 1 species